rnacentral:lncRNA from 1 species
GCCUGGCUAAUUUUUUAUUUUAUUAUUUACUUAUUUUUAUUUUUUGUAGAGAUGAGGUCUUGCUAUGUUGCCUAGGCUGGUCUCAAACUCCUGGACUCAAGUGAUCCUCCUGCCUUGGCCUCCCAAAGUGCUGGGAUUACAGGCUUGAGCCUCAACUCAGCAAUUUCUUUCCUAGGCAACUAUCCAAGAGAAAUGAAAACAUAUGUCCAAAGAGUUUACGUGAAUGUUCAGAAUAGCAUUAUUUAUAGCAAAAAAGCAAGACACACACACAUGCACCCACUGAUAGAUCCAACAAAGGACUAUAUAUUGUCUUAUUUCACUUAAAUGAAACCUUAGAAAAGAAAAUAGCAGCAGCAGAUUAUUAAUUGUUGUCUAGGGCCAGGGGUGAUCAUAAAUGGGUACAAG